GAUGGCGUUGGCAGCACACGUGGAUAUGUCACUUAAAACAACAGACAAAACGUAUGUUAAGACAAAGAUUUCCCAUCAAAUAUACGGUUGUCAAACCCGGAGUAUCAACCCACACCCUCAAGAACACUCCUAAGGUGAUGAAGAGCCUUGAUAUGAAAGAUGCGUCAGCUUGACUGAAGAGACCCCAUGAGAUGCGGCAUCAUCAUGAAUUCGAGUACAUCAUCUCCUCACUGCAUGCCUCAAGCUACUUCAGUUCAACUUUGCUAGUUAUUCAACACUUGGAUAUUAAGAACACUCAUGAUGAUGACAAGCCUUGGUAUGAAAGAUGCGCCAGCUUGACUGACCAGAGCAUGUGAGAUGCUGCCUCAUCAUAAUUUCAAAUACGUCAUCUUCUCAGCGUCUCAAGCUAAUUCAGUUCAACUUUGUGUUUCAUUCAAUACUAAGAUGUUAAGGUACGUCUCUCGUAGUGAGUUUUAUUUAAUGUACAAAGAUCUGUUUACAUGGACUCUCAUAAAACCACUCGGACAAUCAGUCUUUACUGUUUACAACUGAAACAAAGUUGUUAUUUAUUUGAAAAGCUAUUAGUUUAAUUCAAAGCAAAGGUGAACUUCGUAAAACAGCCCUAUGUGGCUGUUUUUGUUAUGAAGUGAAAACUUUGCUGAAUAUUGUUGUGUACAUUUUGUAGCUCCAUUGGAUCAUCAGGCCUGAUACUUUGCGGAGACAAAUUACGCAGCAAUUGCCUCCAUGCACACGGCUUUGGUCAUUGCAUUGGUGCCCAUUGAAAUGCUGUGGUACUAAUUCAAAUUUCCCUCAGACUCUGGCAUUUUACUGAGAAAAAGCUGCAUUGCCCGUACGAGAAUGAAGCAUCAGGCCUGAAGAAUGGGUAGUGAAAUGCAGAAAAGCAAGGGCUACUAGCUACAACUAACAUUUUGUACUGAAUACCAAAGCAGUGUAGUGAACAAUCAUGCAACAUAUAGGCUAACAUGUACAGUUUUAAAACAUAACUUUACACAGAUGUCAGAGUUUGAAACAUGUUUUAAAUACUUAGUUUGAUAUUUAUAUGUGGUAAAUUUGAUGUAUUUGUAUCGCACGUGAUUAUAUUUAUCUGCAAAACAUUGUACGAACCGAGCAGGGCCUUCGGUUUUAAUGGAGUUCAAAUAUAUGGAAACUUGGAGUGAACAUCUGCAUUUCCAUAAAGUUUUAUUCUUAGUAGUGAAAGUACAGUACUGUACCUUUUUACCAUUUUAUCUUGAAAAACUAGAUUUCGCAAAUCCAUGAGAACCCCAAAAUAAAUAGUUAUAGUAUUUUUUUAAUGAUUUUCUGAUCUAUAUAACAUGGAAAGUUGGCAAUGCAGAUGGUCCUUGUAAGCUUCCAUACAAUUUUUGCUCCAUCUUUUGAAGUCUGGUUCCACGUCUCUUAGUGGUAAUACAACACUAGUUCUUAAUGUAGGUGCCAGACUAAUUUCUUCACACACUUGUUUGAUUUCUCCUAUACAUGUAUUAUGUGUAUACACUUAGCUGAUAAGUUAUCAAGGUUAUGUGUGUGUAACUUAUAGUAAUUUUAAGCAAUAUUUAUUAAACGACACUUUCCUGUAAGUUUGUUUGUCACCAGAAUGUCUAUUACAUGUAGAAUGUCAACAGGGAUACCCUGGAGUGUAUCACGCACUGUUUUAAGGGUGUUUAAAAUGUUUUUACUCUCAAUUUUGGUAAUUUUCAGUGAUUUUCAAGUUUUUUUUCCCCCA